UGGCUUGUGGAAGCGCCGUCGCUCAACGGAUAAAAAGGUACCCCGGGGAUAACAGGCUGAUCUUGCCCAAGAGUCCAUAUCGACGGCAUGGUUUGGCACCUCGAUGUCGGCUCGUCGCAUCCUGGGGGCUGGAGUAGGUCCCAAGGGGUUGGGCUGUUCGCCCCAUUAAAAGCGGUACGCGAGCUGGGGUUUUAGAACGUCGUGAGACAGUUUCGGUCCCCUAUCCGCUGCGCGCGCAGGGAAAACUUGAGAAGGGGCUGUCCCCUAGUACGAGAGGACCGGGGACGGACGAACCUCUGGUGUGCCAGUUGUUCCGCCAGGAGCAUGGCUGGUUGGCUACGUUCGGAAGGGAUAACCGCUGAAAGCAUCUAAGCGGGAAGCCUGCUUCAAGAUGAGGUUUCCACCACCCUCGUGGUGGGAAGGCCCCCAGCAGACCACUGGGUUGAUAGGCCGGACGUGGAAGC
rnacentral:ncRNA from 1 species